AAAGGAGUAGGUUCAGUAAGACCCCUUUUUGGCCCCAAAAAAAAGCAGUUUUAGAAAAUUGUGAAAAUGUAAUCUUUAAGCUAUAUUUUGGAAAGUAAAAUGCUUCUGCUACAUAAAUAUGAGCUGUUUUUGACAAAACAAUGCACAAAUAUUGCAUUCCAGCAUCAUUAAGUCAUGCUAAAUUACUGAAAUCUUCAGAAUUUUUGGCAGUUUGGUUAUUUUUUGGAAGGUUUCCGUCUUAAAUGAAAGUGGCCGCAUUUGUGUUCAUUCAUAAUAUUGAAAUGUAAGUUGUAUUUGAUGAUAAUACAAAAC
rnacentral:lncRNA from 1 species